UACGGAGGGUGCAAGCGUUAUCCGGAUUCACUGGGUUUAAAGGGUGCGUAGGUGGGCAGGUAAGUCAGUGGUGAAAUCUCCGAGCUUAACUCGGAAACUGCCGUUGAUACUAUUUGUCUAGAAUACUGUGGAGGUAAGCGGAAUAUGUCAUGUAGCGGUGAAAUGCUUAGAUAUGACAUAGAACAUCGAUUGCGAAGGCAGCUCGCUACACUAUGAUUGACACUGAGGCACGAAAGCGUGGGGAUCAAACAGG
rnacentral:rRNA from 1 species